rnacentral:rRNA from 1 species
GUAGGUGGCAAGCGUUGUCCGGAAUUAUUGGGCGUAAAGCGCGCGCAGGCGGUUCUUUAAGUCCGAUGUGAAAGCCCACGGCUCAACCGUGGAGGGUCAUUGGAAACUGGAGAACUUGAGUACAGAAGAGGAAAGCGGAAUUCCACGUGUAGCGGUGAAAUGCGUAGAGAUGUGGAGGAACACCAGUGGCGAAGGCGGCUUUCUGGUCUGUAACUGACGCUGAGGCGCGAAAGCGUGGGGAGCAAACAGGGAUUAGAUACCCUGGUAGUCCACGCCGUAAACGAUGAGUGCUAAGUGUUAGGGGGUUUCCCGCCCCUUAGUGCUGCAGCUAACGCAUUAAGCACUCCGCCUGGGGAGUACGGCCACAAGGCUG